CUAAAUUUCAUUACCUAUCCUCUCUAUUCUCUUCCUUCAAGUUCCUGAGAUGACAGUGAAUGCUGUGUUAUCCUGCUGUAUCAGUUACCUAUUUUCAUACAAAUACUUCAAUCCCAAAACACACUGGCUGGAAACAACAAACAUGUAAUUAGUCUGGAUGUUCUCAUGGCAAUGGCAGAGGAGCAAAGGCCAAAUGGAAACAUGCAAGAGUUCUUAAGUCCCAGGCCUGGAAGUGACAGCAAAUCAUUUCCCUGCACUCUACUGGACAAAGCUACAACAUCAACCUAGAUUCAGUGAAUAGGGAAAUUACUCCAUGAUAUCGUUUGGAUAUCUGUGUCUCCAUCACAUCUCAUGUUGAAAUGUAAUCCCUAGUGAUGAAGGUGGGGAGGUGUUUCGAUCAUGGGGGUGUAUCCCUCAUGAAUGGCUUAGCGUCAUCCCCUUGGUGAUAAGUGAGUUCUCAUGAGAUCUGAUUGUUUAAAAGUGUGUGGCACCUCCCCCAACUCUCUCUCUCUCUCUCUCUCUCUCUCACUUGCUCGCUCUGGCCAUGUGACAUGCCUGCUCCCGCUUCACCUUCUGCCAUGAGUAAAAUCUCCCUGAAGCCUCCCCAGAAGCCAAACAAAUGUCAACAACAUGCUUGUACAACGCAGAACCAUG
rnacentral:lncRNA from 1 species